rnacentral:rRNA from 1 species
CAGAACGAACGCUGGCGGCAUGGAUUAGGCAUGCAAGUCGAACGGGAGCAGCAAUGCUCCAGUGGCGCAAGGGUGAGGAACACGUGAACAACCUGCCUUCGAGUUGGGGAUAGCUUCUGGAAACGGGAGAUAAUACCGAAUAACAUCACCGGAUCGCAUGAUCUGAUGAUCAAAGCAGCAAUGCGCUUGAAGAGGGGUUCGCGUCCCAUUAGCUAGUUGGUGAGGUAACGGCCCACCAAGGCGAUGAUGGGUAGCUGGUCUGAGAGGACGAUCAGCCACAUUGGGACUGAGAUACUGCCCAGACUCCUACGGGAGGCUGCAGUCGAGAAUUUUGGGCAAUGGACGAAAGUCUGAACCCCCAGCAAUGCCGCGUGCGGGAUGAAGGUCUUCGGAUUGUAAACCGCUGUCAAGAGGGACGAAACAUGACGGUACCUCUGGAGGAAGCCACGGCUAACUACGUGCCAGCAGCCGC